rnacentral:lncRNA from 1 species
GAUGGAUGGUCUUGAACUUCUCAGCGCCCAUCUCCACUUCUCCGGUACUAGGGAUCCCACCCAAGGCUUUGUGCCUACUAACCAAACACUCUUCCAGUUUAGCUCCUCAUCCCCAGCCCUGCCUGGUAGCCUCUAGCCACACCUGGCUCUGGUCCUUCCUAAGCUCCUUUACCAGCCACUGGGACAGGGGCGGUAUCCCAGGAGAUGGAGAAAGGAGUGGAGGUUAAUUGAAGGACCUCCCAUGCCUGGCAGGUGACAGUGCUCUGCCUCACCCCACCAUCCCCUGCCCUCUGAGCCUCUUCGGUCCACUGAAUCACUUUUUACGGAGUUAACCUAACGCUGGCAGAGGAAAAUGGAAUACAAGUUAAAUAUCCAGCUAUUCUCUCUAUGCUACGAUCAGGACAAAGCCUGUAAAAG